GAGUACGCGUUCCCAUGUUUGUUGUAUUCUUGAGCCCCUCUAUCUCUUCCUCCUCUACGGGAGCUCCUACUCAUUCGGGAGGGGGAUAUCCAAAAAACGACACCCCGUGGUAUUUCUACUUCUCUCGUACUCUACUAUCAU
ensembl:ncRNA ZK617.9 ncRNA